CCUGGAUUCAGCGGCGGACGGGUGAGUAAUGCCUAGGAAUCUGCCUGGUAGUGGGGGAUAACGUCCGGAAACGGGCGCUAAUACCGCAUACGUCCUGAGGGAGAAAGUGGGGGAUCUUCGGACCUCACGCUAUCAGAUGAGCCUAGGUCGGAUUAGCUAGUUGGUGGGGUAAAGGCCUACCAAGGCGACGAUCCGUAACUGGUCUGAGAGGAUGAUCAGUCACACUGGAACUGAGACACGGUCCAGACUCCUACGGGAGGCAGCAGUGGGGAAUAUUGGACAAUGGGCGAAAGCCUGAUCCAGCCAUGCCGCGUGUGUGAAGAAGGUCUUCGGAUUGUAAAGCACUUUAAGUUGGGAGGAAGGGCAGUAAGUUAAUACCUUGCUGUUUUGACGUUACCAACAGAAUAAGCACCGGCUAACUUCGUGCCAGCAGCCGCGGUAAUACGAAGGGUGCAAGCGUUAAUCGGAAUUACUGGGCGUAAAGCGCGCGUAGGUGGUUCAGCAAGUUGGAUGUGAAAUCCCCGGGCUCAACCUGGGAACUGCAUCCAAAACUACUGAGCUAGAGUACGGUAGAGGGUGGUGGAAUUUCCUGUGUAGCGGUGAAAUGCGUAGAUAUAGGAAGGAACACCAGUGGCGAAGGCGACCACCUGGA
rnacentral:rRNA from 1 species